UACGAAGGGAGCUAGCGUUGUUCGGAAUCACUGGGCGUAAAGGGUGCGUAGGCGGGUCUUUAAGUCAGGGGUGAAAUCCUGGAGCUCAACUCCAGAACUGCCUUCGAUACUGUAGAGCUUGAGACCGGAAGAGGUAAGUGGAACUGCGAGUGUAGAGGUGAAAUUCGUAGAUAUUCGCAAGAACACCAGUGGCGAAGGCGGCUUACUGGUCCGGGUUCUGACGCUGAGGCGCGAAAGCGUGGGGAGCAAACAGG
rnacentral:rRNA from 1 species